rnacentral:rRNA from 1 species
GACGUAGGGCGCGAGCGUUGUCCGGAUUUAUUGGGCGUAAAGAGCUCGUAGGCGGCUUGUUGCGUCGACUGUGAAAACCCGCGGCUUAACUGCGGGCUUGCAGUUGAUACGGGCAGGCUAGAGUUCGGUAGGGGAGACUGGAAUUCCUGGUGUAGCGGUGAAAUGCGCAGAUAUCAGGAGGAACACCAAUGGCGAAAGCAGCUCUCUGGGACGGUACUGACGCUGAGACGCGAAAGCGUGGGGAGCGAACAGG